ensembl:lncRNA
GAGAAUGUUUAAGAGAAGGAAGAGGCUGAGGGGAUAGGAAGGAGAGAGAAGAAGAAAAAGAAGAAAAGGAUUAAAAUGGAAAUAUGAAAAAUGUGAUGAUCCCAUCAACUCAAAUGAUUACUCAGAUAAUCUCCAGGAAAUCAGAAGAGCAUCAAAUCCAAACUCUUGAACUAGAACUCGGAGGACACCAUGCCAACAGCCGUGAUGGCUUUCAUAUGCUUCCUUCUGGGUGGAGGUGAACUUUAAUGCUACUUGACAAUAAGUAAUCAAGUAUGGUUAGG